UAACGGGAUUAGAUACCCUGGUAGUCCACGCCCUAAACGAUGUCAACUAGUUGUUGGGGAUUCAUUUCCUUAGUAACGUAGCUAACGCGUGAAGUUGACCGCCUGGGGAGUACGGUCGCAAGAUUAAAACUCAAAGGAAUUGACGGGGACCCGCACAAGCGGUGGAUGAUGUGGAUUAAUUCGAUGCAACGCGAAAAACCUUACCUACCCUUGACAUGCCACUAACGAAGCAGAGAUGCAUUAGGUGCUCGAAAGAGAAAGUGGACACAGGUGCUGCAUGGCUGUCGUCAGCUCGUGUCGUGAGAUGUUGGGUUAAGUCCCGCAACGAGCGCAACCCUUGUCUCUAGUUGCUACGAAAGGGCACUCUAGAGAGACUGCCGGUGACAAACCGGAGGAAGGUGGGGAUGACGUCAAGUCCUCAUGGCCCUUAUGGGUAGGGCUUCACACGUCAUACAAUGGUGCAUACAGAGGGUUGCCAAGCCGCGAGGUGGAGCUAAUCCCAGAAAAUGCAUCGUAGUCCGGAUCGUAGUCUGCAACUCGACUACGUGAAGCUGGAAUCGCUAGUAAUCGCUGAUCAGCAUGCCGCGGUGAAUACGUCCCCGGGUCUUGUACACACCGCCCGUCACACCAUGGGAGUGGGCUUUACCAGAAGUAGUUAGCCUAACCGCAAGGAGGGCGAUUACCACGGUAGGGUUCAUGACUGGGGUGAAGUCGUAACAAGGUAACCA
rnacentral:rRNA from 1 species